rnacentral:rRNA from 1 species
ACGCUCGACACCUACGGGAGGCAGCAGUGGGGAAUAUUGCACAAUGGGGGAAACCCUGAUGCAGCGACGCCGCGUGGAGGAAGAAGGUCUUCGGAUUGUAAACUCCUGUUGUUGGGGAAAAAGAGGAUGGUACCCAACAAGGAAGUGACGGCUAACUACGUGCCGACAGCCGCGGUAAUCUGAGCGGGCUGGCAAGGC